GAGAGAGACACGCAUCCUAUGGAUGGAGGGGGAGAGAGAGACACACGCAUCCUAUGGAUGGAGGGGGAGAGAGAGACACACGCAUCCUAUGGAUGGAUGGGGAGAGAGAGACACACGCAUCCUAUGGAUGGAUGGAGAGAGAGAGACACACACGCAUCCUAUGGAUGGAUGGAGAGAGAGAGACACACACGCAUCCUAUGGAUGGAUGGGGAGAGAGAGACACACGCAUCCUAUGGAUGGAUGGAGAGAGAGAGACACACACGCAUCCUAUGGAUGGAUGGAGAGAGAGAGAGACACACGCAUCCUAUGGAUGGAGAGAGAGACACACGCAUCCUAUGGAUGGAGGGGGAGAGAGAGACACACGCAUCCUAUGGAUGGAUGGAGGGGGA